rnacentral:rRNA from 1 species
GUGGGGAAUAUUGGGCAAUGGGCGAAAGCCUGACCCAGCAACGCCGCGUGAAGGAAGAAGGCCUUCGGGUUGUAAACUUCUUUUAAGAGGGACGAAGAAGUGACGGUACCUCUUGAAUAAGCCACGGCUAACUACGUGCCAGCAGCCGCGGUAAUACGUAGGUGGCGAGCGUUAUCCGGAUUUACUGGGUGUAAAGGGCGCGUAGGCGGGAAUGCAAGUCAGAUGUGAAAUCCAAGGGCUCAACCCUUGAACUGCAUUUGAAACUGUAUUUCUUGAGUGUCGGAGAGGUUGACGGAAUUCCUAGUGUAGCGGUGAAAUGCGUAGAUAUUAGGAGGAACACCAGUGGCGAAGGCGGUCAACUGGACGAUAACUGACGCUGAGGCGCGAAAGCGUGGGGAGCAAACAGGAUUAGAAACCCGUGUAGUCC